AUGGCGAAUGGUUCGAUGACUCCAUUUUAAGUUCCUCUACUAACCAAAGAUAAUUAUCACAAUUGGAGUGUUAGAAUGAAGACUUUGAUUGGCUGCUAUGAUGCUUGGGAGGUCGUAGAGAGAGGAAUUGGAGAAUAUGGUGAUGAAGAAAAUUUGACUAAUUCUUCUUCCAAGAGAGAAAAAAAAUUAUAAUCUUUCUCUGGAGCCUAUCAAUUCCAUAUGCCUUCUUCAUCAAAAUGAACAUCCCAGGUAAUAAUAAUGUUCUCCUUCUCUGGAUUAUAAAGCUUGUACCCUUUGGAGGAAGCAUCAUAGCCAACAAAAAUAAAUUUCUCACUCUUGUCAUCUAGCUUGGAACAAUUCUUAUCUGGCACAUAUGCGUAGGCAGUGCUCCCAAAAACUCUUAAAUGAAACAUGUUGGGCUUUCUUCCACUCCAUGCUUCUUAGGGUGUUUUGUUCCAAAGGCUUCUAGUUGGAAACUGAUUGGACAAAUAAACAGCACACGCAAUAGCUUCAAACCAAAAUUAUUUUGGCAUAUUUUUGCUCUUCAUCAUGAUUCGAGCCAUAUUGAGAAUUGAUCUACUUUUUCUCUCCACCACUCCAUUUUGCUUUGGGGAGUAAGGGACUGUCAAGUGACGAUGGACCCCAUGAUCUUCACAAAAAUUCUGGAAUUCUUUUGAUGUGAAUUCACCUCCUCAGUUGGACCUCAAAGCCUUAAUCUUGUGGCCACUUACAUUUUCAACAUAAACUUUGAACUUUUUGAAUGAGCAAAACUCCUCAUAAUUUUCUUUUAGAAAAUACACCCAUGUUUUUCUACUAAAAUCAUCAAUAAAGAGAAGAAAAUAAUUAUUCUUAUCAAACGAAUACUACAAAAAAAAGGGUCAUUACCGACCAACAUUUUUCGAGGGUCCUGAAAUUCCGUCGGUAAAAGUGUUUUUUCCAACCAAAAAAUGUUGUCCGUUGGAAAUAUGUCGUGGGGCUGAAAUUUGUUUCCGACAAAAAAAAAAACCCUCGGAAAAAGUCUCUAUGGUCGUCGGAAAUGUAAUUUAUUUGGCGGGAAGACUUAGCGCCAACUUUAUUAACGACAAAAAGUAUGUUUGUCGGAAAUAUGAUGAUUAUUUCUGAGGGGUUUCUCAUUCCGUCGGAAUUCUUUGACUAUUUCCGAGUAGAAAUAUGUCCUCUCGGAAAUGCCGUUAUAUUUACAACCAAAUUCAUACUCGAUGGUAAUAGUUGUGCUUUUUUCCGAGGGCAUAUUCACUUUUGUCGGAAGUCACAACCUAUUACCGAGGGCAACAUAUGGUCGUCGUUAAUAAAUUUUCAAUUUAUGAGAAGAAUUAGGGACUGUUGGAAAUGAUUAUCUUAAAAACUUCAUAAUAAAUUAAAUAAAAAGAAGAAAAAUACACCGAAACAAGCUACGCAAUCCUGACGAUAAAUCCUUCGAUUUUAGAGGCUUAAAUCAUGAUUCCACAUAAUUGAGUUCAUGGUAAUGAUUGGAUCAAAGAAGCAAGAGUGUUAGGUUAUCAAACAUUAACUAGUGUUUGGUUUGUUUACAAACUAAGUUGAGUUUUUGUUGUCACUUUGAAUUUUUAUAAGUAAAAAAAAAAUAUUUUCAAAGCUUUAGGAUGAAGAGAAUGUCAUCACUAGGACUUCAUAGGAAUUUUUAGUGAAUUGUUUGGAUUUUUAAUGUAUUUAUUAUGAUUUUUAGGAGUGAAAUCAUAUACAAUUCAUAUUAAACUGAAUUGAUCGACAAGUAGCAGCUUCUUUUAGGUGCAUUUUCUGUAUUGGUGACGCGUCCUCAUACCAUUGCCAUCUAUCCUUUUUCUUACUUUUUUUUGUUUAUCUUAAAAAAAUUAAUAAUAAAUUAAAUAAAAAUUCGAAAAAAUGCACCGAGAAAAGAUACGAACUCCUUGUGAAAAAUCUUUUGAUUUUAGAUGUCUAAAAUCAUAAUUCCACAUAAUUGAGUUCAUGGUAAUGAUUGGAUCAAAGAAGCAAGAGUGUUAGGUUAUCAAACAUUAACUAGUGUUUGGUUUGUUUACAAACUAAUUUGAGUUUUUGUUGUCACUCUAAAUUUUUAUAAGUAAAAAAAAGAUUUUUGAAGCUGUAGGACGAAGAGAAUGUCACUAAGACUUUGUAGGAGUUAAAUCAUAUAAUGUAUUCAUUAUGAUUUUUAGGAGUUAAAUCAUAUAAAAUUUAUUUUAAAUUGAAUUGAUGGACAAGUGGCAGCUUCUUACAUGCGCCACCUGUCCUUUUGCUUAUUUUCCCUUCUUUUUUUUUUGCCAAUUUCUGAAUUUUUAAAUUUAUUUAUUAUAUAUAUAUUUUUGGAUAUUUGACUUAAACUCUUUUUUAUUUAUUUGGGAAUUGGUGUUGUGAAGAGCUCUUUCAUUUUUCUUUGACCACCAAAUAACUCCAGCCAAAACUCAAAUUUCCCCCUUCUUCACCAGCCAGAAACCUAGCAGCCGCCUCCAACACUCAUUCUCUCUAUGCGUCUCUCUCUGACGCAGCACAAGAAAUGAGGGUUUCAAGCGAAACCUUGAGUAACAAGAAAAACUGGAUUCCACCAGAAAAUUAAGAGAAUCUCUCUUAGAUUAAUGUUAUUAAAAAACUGAGUUACCAGAAAUGUUUAGACAAACCUGUCUAAAUACACAAUUCUCAACAACCCUCAACCCUUCAACUACCAAGGGAAUUAUUACAUAAAACUGAAACAACAAAAUUAACCUGGAGUCUUAAUAACGUAACUCCUAAACUGACAUAAAACUGAAAAAAAACAGAAUUAAUUUGGAGUCUUAAUAACAUAACUCCUAAACUGUCAAAACAGAAUUUAUUGGAAAAUUAACUACCAAACUUUAACUGCAAUUUUGGAAGUCCAAAUGACCUCAGAAUGCCAAAAUCUAGCAUAUGUCUCAGCAAAGCAGUGAGUUGCACUCGUGGCGUCGUUCCCUUUCCGAAAUGGUAUUUUGCACCCUAAUCGGAGCUUGGACGACAAAACUGCAAAUUCCCACUGCGCCCUUUUUCUAGCUCAACCGCGAUAAAAUCUGCCAGCUGUUCUACAUCACUCUCUCUCUAAGUCAUUAUCUCUCCCAUAAAUUAUCAUAUGGGUUUUUAGUAUUUUGUAAAUGUCUUUCUAUUUUCAAGGCAUGUGGUCUUUCCUAUUGUUAAUUUGUCACUUUUUGUUUCAGAUUUCAUUUGGGUAGCAGAGAAAAUGCAUAUUUGUCGAUUGUGCAUUUUACUUGAGGCGAUUUGGUAACGCAGGUUUUGUCAUGAAGCAUCAACUAUGAUGAGGCAUACUUCACUGAGCCUUUCUGGUAUUCCAGAUUUAUUAAGAUCUUUGCCUUGACAAUUAUUUAUUCUAUGCAUACUUGGAUUGAUUGUUAAUGGUCUUGGUUCUUUAUUUCACGUUUUAUUUUCUGUUGCUCUGCUUUAAUGGCUAAAAUAUUUGGGUUUGUAAUGUACUCUCGAAAGAGCAAUACCUAAAAUAGGGCUUCGAAUUAAGUACUUCAGAAAAUUUCUUAUAGCAUGUAUUUCUGUUUUAUUAGGUACUGAUAUAAUGCGGGUUUGAUGUUCCUCUACAAAUUCUUGAACUAUUUCCUUCUGGUAUCCUAACCAUAUAUUUUCUCAAACUUAUUACUUGGAAUGCGGGUUUUGAAAUUCAGGGACAUACCAUGCCUUUCCUUUCUGUGUACUGGCAUCCAUUUGGUGAGUUCCUGCACCAGUUAGUGAAGACUAUGUCAGAGUUUGGUCAUUCAGACCAGGAAGUGAAGGGAAGUGCAUUCAUGAGUUUUACUUUACUGACAAUUAAGUUCCAUUGCUGUGUUUUCCAUCCUACAUAUCCUUCAAUAAUGAUCAUUGGCUCUGACUAGGCAAGUCAAUUCUCAUUAUUGUGCAUAGUCCUUUUUGUUUUUGUGUUGUUCAUUACAUUUUUAGUUGAAGAUUUAGUUGUGACUGCUUAUGAGUUAUGAGACCUGUUGUUUGAAACACAUAGCUUCAUUGGAUUUGACAUUGCCUUUAAGGUGCAUGAUUAGCUUACAGCUGUGAAAUGAGAUUCUCGCCGAAGCUAGAAUUGAAGGAUGUGGGAUCUGAACAUUAUGCUUGUUUUACUACAUUGUGAGAGUGGUUGAAAAGUUUUGAGUUCACUUUCCUCUGAAUGUUCUUUUCCUAGUACUUUUGUUUUUUGUUUUGUUUUGCUUUCUUUUCUUCUCUGUUUGGAAUUUCGUUAAAGUCCCAUAUGGCUGGGAAUGGGGACUAAACCUUGUGGUUUGGUUCCCAUUUCACUUGUUUCACUGCCAGGAAGGGUGUAGACUGACAAUUAUGUUCUUGCUGCACUAGUUUCAUACUUGAUUUUUAACUGGGGACAACAACUGUAGGAUUUGGAGCUAUGGAACAUGCCCGAGAUGAAGGCAAUGCUUAUACGAGUACAUAAAGGAUGUGUUACUUCUUUGGCUGUGUCACUUGUUACCGGUGGUUGCUUCAGCUAGUUACGAUAAGAUUGUCAAGCUGUUUGGGUCCCUAUCUCACAGGUGUUAGGCCAUCUCCAUCGCUUCAGGCUGGCCCAGGCAAAAGGCAGGAAGAAGCCCGAGUCCACCUCCAGCGCUACCAAUCCAGCCCGGGCAAGCUGCGGGUCCCACGAGCCCGGGCAGGCCCAAGGGCGAAAUCAGACUAGGCUCGAGCCCGAGUUUCGCUGACGUCAGCGCACUAAAAUCAAAUUUUUUUUACUGUUGGUGCGUGUAAUACACGCGCCAACGGUAAAAAAAAUUUGACUGAAGUGCGCUGACGUCGUCGUGACGUCAGCGAUGACGUCAGCUCCAACGGCUACUGCCACGUGUCGGCACCGGGUGGCUCCGAUUGGAUUUUUUUUCAGAAAUCCUACGGUUCUCAUUUUUUUGGCCAAAAAAAAAAAAUCCUAAAAAUUCGAAAAAAUUCUGAAAUUUUUUUUAAAAAAAUACCAAAAAUGUAUGUAUUUUUUCCCUAUAAAUACCUAACCAUUUUAUCUACUUUCAACACCAAAUCUUCAUACAAUUUCUUCUCCAUACACUAUUUUCUACUCUCCACUCACAUAAUUCAUUUUCCACACCAAAUCUCCAUACAAACUCAUCUCCUUCCAAUAUUUUUUACUCUCUACUCAUAUUUUCCACUUUCCACACCAAUUCCAUAUAAACUCUUCUCCUUCCAAUAUUUUUUACUAUCCACUCACAUUUUUGUACUACUUUCCAUUUGUAGAAAAUAAACAAAUGGCAUCUUCUGUUGAAAUCGGAGGCUCGUGGUCAACCCAGGAAGAUAUUGCAUUGUGCGAGUCUUGGGUGAGCGUUAGUCAUGACCCUAUCACGGGCAAUGAGAUGAAGUUCCAUCAUAUGUGGAGCAAAAUUCAUGGAGAAUUUUGUCAAAGAUCGGGUUCCAUUCGGACCGAAAUGGCUUUGUCUAGUAGAUGGAAAAUUCUAAACAAAGAGUUAGGGAAAUGGAGAAAUGCAUUGACAAAAGCAAAGGAGAACAUUCGGAGCGGUGCGAAUCUUUCCGAUGAGGUAAAAUAUUUUUAAUUGCCAUUUUAAUCAAUUUAAUGUAACUUUUUUUUAUUGCAUAUUCUAUUUAUUUUUUGUUGCACAAUGUUUAUUUUAUUUUUGCAUUUCCUAAUUGGCUUUAUUUAUUUACAUAAUCAAUUUUAUUCUUGCAUUUCAAAAUAGUUUAUAAUUUCAUGCAUAAUCUUUAUUUUUGUUUUUGCAUUUUCAAUUUGUCUAUAUUUAUUUACAUAAUCAAUUUUAUUCUUGCAUUUCACAAUAGUUUAUAAUUUCUUGCAUUGUAUAUUUUUUUUAAUGCACUUCCAAUUAUUUAUUUUGAAUAGAUCAUACAAGCACAAAUGUGGUUCGGUGCCACGGGGCAAGGGAAAAAAAGUUUUGUGCAUUUCCAAUGUUGGGAAAUUGUCAAAGAUUGUUCCAGAUUCAAAAUUAUUCCUACCGCACCCCCGGUUGUGUUGCAUGAGACGCCGCUCCACGAAUCGCCAUCAACCGAUUCGCCAUUAGACUCCCCAAUGGAAACGGAGUCACCACUCCCACGUCCGCCGAGACCUAUUGGGAGAAAGGCGGCAAAGGCCAAGAGAGGGGCCACUUCAAACAUUGAUUGUGUUCAAAUAUUCGAGCAAAUAGCUAAGAACAACUCUCUAAGAUUGGAGAGAGACUUGAGGAGAGAUGAAGCGGACAAGGCACGAUUGGAAGCCUUUGCAAUUGAAAAGCAACAUGCAAAAGAAAAAGACGACGAUGAAAGAGAGAUGAAAAUCAUGGCCAUGGAUACGAGCCAUAUGUCUCCUGAAACAAAGGCCUAUUGGAAGCAUAAACGAAGGGAUGUGAUGAGAAGAAAACUUUUCCAUGACGACGGUCCUAGCAAUACGGAUUGGCUAAAUGAUGAAAACCAUUAGAUUGUAUUGUUGUAUUUUUUUAAUAAUUGUUGUAUUUUUUUUUAAAUUGUUGUAUUAUCCUUUAAUUUGUUGUAUUGUUUCUUUUUUAUUCAAUCUACUUUCCAUCUAUAAUUGGACUACUUAUUAAAAACAUUUGAGCAUUCCUCACAAAGAUUAAUUAAAAACAACCCUUCAUUUAUUGCAAACAACACACAAAACAAACCAUACAUAAAAACAUAAUAAUAAAAAAGACCUCGCAAUUAUUCCACAAAACACAACACACAAAAACAAAGCAUAAUUAAAAACAAAGCAUAAUUCCAAACAAAGCACGAAUCUAGCCUUCAUCCAUUGUGAUUGCCUUUCAUCUGCCACAAGUGCUCGAUCAAGUCAACUUGACGUCUUUCGUGAACAUAUGAAGAUUGCAUUUCUUGAUAACGAUCAAUCAUGGGGUUGUUGAAUCGACCAUCGUGAAGUAACGGUUCGGGCUCCAAUGGUAGUCCAUUUGGUCCUAUCGGCCUUUCAUAUAUUCUUGUCAACGCCGUGUUCAUAGGAUCGGGUUCAAACACCUCUGGAGCAUCGUAGUCAUACUCAUCCUCCACAAUCAUGUUGUGGAGGAUGAUGCAAGUCAUCAUAAUACUCCUCAGCACCUCCUCGUCUAGCAUCCGAGCAGCACCCCUGAUAAUUGCCCAACGAGCUUGCAAGAUACCGAAACACCUUUCCACGUCUUUCCUGUAACCUUCUUGAAAUGAAGCAAAGCUUCUUUCCUUCUCGGAUUGGGGAUUCGGAAUUGUUUUCACGAAUGUCGUCCACCUAGGAUAAAUUCCGUCGGCAAGGUAGUAUGCACCAGAGUAUACGGUAUUGUUGAUUUGGUAUGUGACCUGAGGGGAAUGACCUCGCAAUACCUCGUCGAACACCGGGGAUUGACCAAGGACAUUGAGGUCAUUCUGAGAUCCGGCAACCCCAAAAAAGGCAUGCCAAACCCAAGUGUCGAAUGAAGCUACGGCCUCCAAAAUGAUACUUUUUUGGCCCUUCCGAUUCCCAUAGUCUCCUUGCCACGCAGUAGGACAAUUCUUCCACUGCCAAUGCAUGCAAUCGAUGCUUCCGAUCAUUCCUGGGAAACCUCGAGCCUCGCCUUUUUGUAGAAGCCUUUGCAGGUCCCUCGGAGUGGGUUUGCGAAGGUACUCCCUCGUGUACAAAUUUUCCACUGCAUCACAGAAUCUCACCAAGCACUCUAGGAUAGUAGAUUUUCCCAUCCUUGCAAUCUCAUCCACCUGCUCUGCAGAUGCCCCAUAAGCAAGCAUCCGCAAAGCAGCUGUAAGUUUUUGCUCCGGGAUAAGACCCAAAACUCCAACAGCAUCAUGCUUUUGAAUGAAGUAUGUGUCGUAAUUACAAAUAUCAUGCAUGAUUUUUUGGAACAAAUGUGGCUGCAUUCUAUAUCUCUCUCGAAACUUAUGAGCAGGAUAUAACGAAUUUGGGAUAAAGUAAUCCUCCAAGAGAUUCUUACCCCGAGACUCUCUGCGUCUGUCCACAUUCGGGGCACGACGACGAUGGUGUUGGCUUGAUUGAUUCAUCAUACACACCGCCGCUACUUCAAGCAUUUCCUCCUCUUCUUCAUCUUGCUCCCGAUCUUCUUCCUCACGUCUACGCUGGAUUUCUUCCCAUUCUUUCUGUUGCCUCUCCAACACCCUCCUGAAGUUUGACAUUGAGAGUAUAAUGGGAAAUUGUAAAAUCUGAGAAAUGAAGGAAUAUAUCAGAGAUGGUGUGAGAGGAGUGGUGUUGAUGGUGUAGUUAUAUAGAGGGAUUCAGAAGAUAGAGAUGACACGUGGCACAAUUUUAGAGGGUGAAAAUCUUAUCUGAAAUCUGAGAUCACUAUUUGUAAAAAAAAUAUCUGAAAAUCUUAUCAGACAUGGGACACGUGGCACAAUUUUAGAGGGUGAAAAUCUUAUCUGAAAUAUGAGAUUAUAAUUUUUUAAAAAUAUCUGAAAAUCUUAUCUGACAUGGGACACGUGGCACAAUUUUAGAGGGUGAAAAUUUUAUCGGAAAUCUGAGAUUAUAAUUUUUAUUAAUGAAUAUCCGAAAAUUUUAUCUGGAAUAAGACACGUGGCAACCGAGAUUCACAUCCGAAAAUUUAAUUACAAAAGAUUAUCAAAAUUAAUGAUUUAAAGUAUAAAAAAAUAGGAAAUAAAGUACAAUGAAUAGUAAUUGCCCUAGACUUGCCCUAGACUUUGCCCUUGUGGGUGGAACCACAAAUGGCAAGGCUGACACUAUUCACGUGAAUAGUGUCAGCCCUUGCUUGCCCUAGCUUGCCCUUGCCUUAGACUUUGCCCUAAGGGGUGGAGUUGCUCUUAGAGAUGAUGAGUACAAACCUUGGGGUUACAAAGGGCAUAAAGCCUGUACAUUAUUAGUUGAAGAUGACUGAAUGGCAAGAUUAGUUGUGUUAGUUUGCCAUAAAGCAUGUACAUUAUUGUUAUAUGAGAAUAAAUGAGACGCUAUUAUAUUUAGGGAGCCUUGUUUUAUCACGGCUAUGUAUUGCACAAUGAAUUUUUAUUUCUUUAUGAUGAUAUUAAGUGUUUACAAUUGUUUCGCUUUUAUAUACCAUUUAACAUGAUUUAUUUUACAAUGAAUUGACAUUGUUAGAAAUAAAUUUGUUGGUUGAAUAUAAUGUUUUCGACCACUUGUUCGUCGAAAAUAUUUGUCGACAAGAUUAAUCUAUUUGCAACAAAUUUUGCGAUGACUAAAUGUGGUUAGAAAUAUAUAUUUCCGACGUAACUUUCCCAUCGGAAAUAUUUUGUUAUACUCAUUUCCGACGAGAUAUUAUAUAUUUUCCACAAAUUAUUUUGGUCAGUAAUGAUAAUUGCGAUGAAAUCUAACCCUCGCAAAUAAUAUUUUCAACAACACUCAUUCAUCGAAAAUAUGAAUUUGCGAAAUCUUGAUAAUAAAAAGCUGUUUCCGACAAUCUUCUAAGUAAUUGCGAUCACAUGUACAGCUCGGAAAUAAAUAUGCAUGGUCGUCUUAAAAAUCCAUUUCCGAUAGAAAUUUAAGCAAUAGCUACGAAAUAUGGGCGUCGGAAAUACAUUAUUUCUGACGGAAUUGUCGAAAAAGAAGUAUUUGCAACCAGCGUUUUACCGACGGCUUCUUGCCGUCGAAAAAGGGUAUUUCCGACAGUAAAAGGCUUUAUUCGACAAAAAAAAGCCCUCGCUAAAGGGGUUCUGUUUUGUAGAACUUGGUUUUUACAAGGCCACACAUAUCUGCAUGAAUGAGCUUCAAUGGCUCUCUUGCUCUUGUAUUUGCUUCUCUAGGAAAGCUCCUUGUAGAUUGCUUCCACGUAGACACCCUUCACAUAAUUGAUUUGAAAAAUUGAUAGAUGGCAAACCCUUCCCCAUUUCUUUCUUGCACAUCAAAGUCAAAUCACCAAAACUUACAUGCCCAAACCUCAAGUGCCAGAGCCAAGAAGGAUAUUUGAAACAAGCCUUCAGACACUUUACAACUUCACUUUGAAUGUUUAGCAAAAACAUCAUCUUCUUUGUCAUUGGAACUUUAGCAAUUAACCUGUUUUCUUCACCUCUAAUUGAAAGACCACGAUCAAUCAGCUGUAUGUUAUAUCCUUUCUCUAACAAUUGGCCCAAACUCAAAAUAUUACUCUUCAUAGUCGGCACAUAAUAAACAUUUGAAAUAAAUUCAUGUCUACCAUCCUUCAAAUGAAUUAAUACCUUUCCUUGAAUAGAAAUCCUCAAAUCAUCUCCAAAAGUGAUCUUGCCAUCCAACUUUUCAUCAAGGUCCAUGAACAAAUAUUUGUUUUCGCACAUAUGGUUGCUUGCUCCGGUGUCUAAAUACCUUAACUCUACAUUUUGUCUAUUUUUUCUUCACAUUUGUAGGACAAUAGCACAGUGACAUCUUUGUCUGCUUCUGCAUAAUUGGACUUCCCUCAGACAUUUCCACCACUACCUCGACAUUUAAAUGCUUUAUGCCCAUAUCCUCCACAAGAAUAACACUGGAUUUGUGA
rnacentral:lncRNA from 1 species